GAGUUUGAUCCUGGCUCAGGAUGAACGCUAGCGGCAGGCUUAACACAUGCAAGUCGAGGGGUAGUUAUCUUCGGAUAAUGAGACCGGCGCACGGGUGCGUAACGCGUAUACAAUCUACCUUUUACAGAGGGAUAGCCCAGAGAAAUUUGGAUUAAUACCUCAUAGUAUUUUUGAAUGGCAUCAUUUGAUUAUUAAAGUUCCAACGGUAAAAGAUGAGUAUGCGUCCCAUUAGCUAGAUGGUAAGGUAACGGCUUACCAUGGCAACGAUGGGUAGGGGUCCUGAGAGGGAGAUCCCCCACACUGGUACUGAGACACGGACCAGACUCCUACGGGAGGCAGCAGUGAGGAAUAUUGGACAAUGGGCGCAAGCCUGAUCCAGCCAUGCCGCGUGCAGGAAGAAGGUCCUAUGGAUUGUAAACUGCUUUUAUACAGGAAGAAACACCUCUACGUGUAGAGACUUGACGGUACUGUAUGAAUAAGGACCGGCUAACUCCGUGCCAGCAGCCGCGGUAAUACGGAGGGUCCAAGCGUUAUCCGGAAUCAUUGGGUUUAAAGGGUCCGUAGGCGGUUUAAUAAGUCAGUGGUGAAAGCCCAUCGCUCAACGAUGGAACGGCCAUUGAUACUGUUAAACUUGAAUUAUU
rnacentral:rRNA from 1 species